AAGUCUUCAUUCAAGACAGCAAAUCUGUUCUUGGUUUUGAAACCAAAAACGUUGAGCAGAAAAUGUUUCGUCCAAAAUUUUAUUUUCAAUCCAAGCCAACAACGCUAGAAGCAGAAGACAAUUCUGUUCCAAUUUCAAAUCCAAGUAUAAAUUACGUUCAGGAAUUUCGCAGAAGCAGAUUCGUUCAAAUAAUUCAACAAACAGGUAUGUUAAGGCCCUUCCUUCUUUCUUUUGGCAUGGUCCAAAUUAUAUUGAAAAAACGAGCAACUACACAGUUUCCAUAAAUUACUCUAUUCGUAGAAAUAUUAGGGGUGUUUAUAUUCUUGAUUCCCCAUGAAAAUUAUUAUUAUCUUCUGUUCAUGGGUCUCAGAAUAAUACACAAUUGAAAAAGUUUAUCCGGAACUGAUAUUAAGAUUAUUACGUAUUUUUCAUGCAUUUCACUCAUUUAUACAUGUGUAUUGACCCAUGACUAGAUGGCGUUAUAUACGCGUAUAUAUGUAAAUAUAUGUAUAUGGGAUAUGGAAAAAGUUUACGGCAUUAUAUACGCACCACCACCUGAUCAGCCGGUAUAUGUUGAUGAUGUUGCCCAUAGUGGUCGAGAAGAUAUGAUGGGAUGCCCUCAGUGGCUUGAUGAUAUUAUGUACACCCAUACCUAUGCAUGGCACGACAUUUAUACACACGUGCAUGACAUUAGAAACGUUUCGGAAUUUAUAAAGUUUUUCAGAUUUAAUGAUGUGUUUCUGUAUUCCAUGUUUCAUCUAUGUCUUUUACGUACUAAUUUUCAUGCCUUAUAUACUCAUUACAUAUUUCGUACUGAUGCCCUAUUUCACUGGGCCUGCAUUUCAUGCCCAUAGGUGCAGGUAAGCAAGCUGAUGGUCCCUCUUCUUAGGAUCCUUGAUCAGCGAGAGUUGGCAUGCUCCAUUUGAUCCGGAGCUGUUUUUGAUUUUGGUACGAUACGUUUGUAUAUACAUAUGUAUAUGGGUAUGACGUGGCUCAGUCCCAUAUUUGUACAACUAUAUUUCUGUUAGAGGUUUGUGGACAGUAUGUCUAGUUGGGUUGUAUAUGGCCUUAUCGGCUUUCAGUUUUGGAUGUACAGUUGUCUAUAGCAACCUUGCCGGCUCGCCCACUGUAUCCUGCAUGUAUACGUACAUAUGCCUUGAUGACAAAUUUCUUUUAUGUGUGUUAUUUUUAUAAUGUAGCAAAUGUUAUUCAG
rnacentral:lncRNA from 1 species